GACCCCGAGUGACCCUGAGUGACCCUGAGUGACCCCGAGUGACCCCGAGUGACCCUGAGUGACCCCGUGUGACCCUGAGUGACCCCGAGUGACCCCGAGUGACCCCUGACCCCUGAGUGACCCUGAGUGACCCCUGAGUGACCCCUGAGUGACCCUGAGUGACCCCUGAGUGACCAAUGAGUGACCCUGUGUGACCCUGAGUGACCCCUGAGUGACCCCGAGUGACCCCUGACCCCUGAGUGACCCCUGGUGACCCCUGAGUGACCCCUGAGUGACCCCUGAGUGACCCCUGAG